rnacentral:rRNA from 1 species
CCGAUGGCGAAGNCAGCCCCCUGGGAUAAUACUGACGUUCAUGCUCGAAAGCGUGGGUAGCAAACAGGAUUAGAUACCCUGGUAGUCCACGCCCUAAACGAUGUCAAUUAGCUGUUGGGGCAUUUGAUGCCUUAGUAGCGAAGCUAACGCGUGAAAUUGACCGCCUGGGGAGUACGGUCGCAAGAUUAAAACUCAAAGGAAUUGACGGGGACCCGCACAAGCGGUGGAUGAUGUGGAUUAAUUCGAUGCAACGCGAAGAACCUUACCUGGUCUUGACAUGUACGGAAUCUUCCAGAGACGGAAGAGUGCCUUCGGGUGCCGUAACACAGGUGCUGCAUGGCUGUCGUCAGCUCGUGUCGUGAGAUGUUGGGUUAAGUCCCGCAGCGAGCGCAACCCUUGUCAUUAGUUGCCACCAUUCAGUUGGGCACUCUAAUGAGACUGCCGGUGACAAACCGGAGGAAGGUGGGGAUGACGUCAAGUCCUCAUGGCCCUUAUGACCAGGGCUUCACACGUCAUACAAUGGUCGGUACAGAGGGUAGCCAAGCCGCGAGGUGGAGCCAAUCUCAGAAAACCGAUCGUAGUCCGGAUUGCACUCUGCAACUCGAGUGCAUGAAGUCGGAAUCGCUAGUAAUCGCAGGUCAGCAUACUGCGGUGAAUACGUUCCCGGGUCUUGUACACACCGCCCGUCACACCAUGGGAGUGGGGGAUACCAGAA